rnacentral:rRNA from 1 species
UGGGGAAUAUUGCACAAUGGGCGCAAGCCUGAUGCAGCGACGCCGCGUGAAGGAAGAAGGUCUUCGGAUUGUAAACUUCUAUCAGCAGGGAAGAAAAAAUGACGGUACCUGACUAAGAAGCCCCGGCUAACUACGUGCCAGCAGCCGCGGUAAUACGUAGGGGGCGAGCGUUAUCCGGAUUUACUGGGUGUAAAGGGUGCGUAGGCGGCGUUUUAAGUCUAAAGUGAAAUUUCGGGGCUCAACCCCGGAGCUGCUUUGGAAACUGAGACGCUAGAGUGCAGGAGAGGAAAGUGGAAUUCCGAGUGUAGCGGUGAAAUGCGUAGAGAUUCGGAGGAACACCAGUAGCGAAGGCGGCUUUCUGGACUGUAACUGACGCUGAGGCACGAAAGCAUGGGGAGCAAACAGGAUUAGAUACCCUGGUAGU